AUGACCAAUCGUUUGCAGAAGCAGAUACCGGAGUUAGUGCACUCCUUACAGUCUGGGUUUCUGAAAGGACGCUCCAUUGUUGAAAAUUUUGCGCUGGCUGCGGAGUUAAUUCAAUGUGCUCACAAAAGAAAGCUACCUGUUAUCGCUUUGAAACUGGAUUUCCACAAAGCCUUCGAUAGCGUCAGCUGGGACUGCCUCAAGCAAGUCUUGGAAGCAAGGGGUUUUCCGCAACCAUGGAGGCAGUGGGUCAAUAACCUGCUCUCCUCUGGUAGCUCUAGAGUCAUGAUCAACGGGGAGCUGGGCCCACCCAUC
rnacentral:rRNA from 1 species